rnacentral:sRNA from 1 species
CUAUAAUCCCGCAAUAGGGAUUGAGGCGGCAUCCUUUUUUACGUGGUAAAAAGCUACAGGUAUCGAUGUUGUUAAACUCAAAAAAGAUACAGCCGAAAGCCCGACGCAUC